GACGAACGCUGGCGGCGUGCUUAACACAUGCAAGUGGAGCGACGAACCGGGGCUUGCCCCGGGGCAGAGCCGCGAACGGGUGAGUAACACGUGGGUAACCCACCCCGAUGACCGGGACAACCCGAGGAAACUCGGGCUAAUACCGGAUGUGCUCCUUGACCUUGAGGUCAAGGCGUAAAGAUAGCUUCGGCCUUCGCAUCGGGACGGGCCCGCGGCCCAUUAGCUUGUUGGUGGGGUAAAGGCCUACCAAGGCGACGAUGGGUAGCUGGUCUGAGAGGACGAUCAGCCACACUGGGACUGAGACACGGCCCAGACUCCUACGGGAGGCAGCAGUGGGGAAUCUUGCGCAAUGCGCGAAAGCGUGACGCAGCAACGCCGCGUGGGGGAAGAAGGCCUUCGGGUUGUAAACUCCUUUCGCCAUUGACGAAGCCCUUUGGGGUGACGGUAGGUGGAGAAGAAGCACCGGCUAACUACGUGCCAGCCGCCGCGGUAAGAC
rnacentral:rRNA from 1 species